rnacentral:lncRNA from 1 species
AUGUGUGUCUGUGUGGCGUGUGUCAGCAGGGUGUGUAAGUGUCAGUGUUGUUUGCAUAAGCCCGCUGGUGUGUGUCCAUGUUGUGUGUGUAUCAGUGCUGUGUAUGUCCACACUGUGUGUGGGUCAGUGUUGUAUGUGUGAGUCCUUGUGUGAGUGUGGUGUGUGUGUUGUGCCUGUGUUGUGUCUCAGUGCUCUGUGUGUUUACGUUGUGUGUGGGUCACUGUUGUAUGUGUGUGUCCCUGUUGUGUGAGUGUGACAUGUGUUAGUGUUGUGUCUGUGUUGUGUGUGUCUCAGUGCUGUGUGUGUCCACAUUAUGUGUGUGAGUCAGUGUUGCUUGCAUGUGUCCCUGUUGUGUGUGAUGUGUGUUAGUGUUGUGUGACUGUGGUGUGUGUUAGUAUUGUGUGUCUGUAUUGCCUGUGUGUCAGCAUUGUGUGUCCAUAUUGUGUCUCCAUGUUUGGUAUGUCUCAGUUUUGUCUGUGUGAGUCUUGUGUGUGUGUAUUUGGUGUCUCCAUGCUUUGUGACUCAGUGUUGAGUAUGUGAACCCCCAGCCCCUGCGGGGUGUCCAUCCCGCCCUUACAAAUGGACGGACCAACCCGGGCGCUGACAUCACUCUGCAUUUGAGGGAUGCAGGUGCAGCGUGGGGCACGGGACGACCCUGGGGGUUACAUUGUCUUUUUGAAAUGGCUCCUCCAGCCUCUGGGUCUGAUGCAUUGGACCGAGGGCUGCAGAUGGAUGGCUUCGUUGCCAUGUUGGCAUCUUCGUCUUGGAGAGCUUCUCUGCCCUCAUUGUGGAUGUGCACCAGCCUUCCUCACUGGCCAUCCGGUGAAGCCUUGCCCGGCAGUGAGACUUCACACACUGCAGCGUGGGGACCUGCACUUUUCAUUUUUCCUCCUUCAACAUCAUGUAUCCCAUAAACUAGCAUUUGUGGAUGUUAAUACCUGUAAUAAAUUCCCUCUCUCUAUAUAUACACCUUGCCAGGACACGGUCUGUGUGA